CCGACAAAAGAGAUAAAAAAAAACCCUAGUAAACUUUUCUUAACACAGUAGAAUUUGGGAAUCGAAUUUUCCCUCCAAAAUCCAACACCAUCCUUCGAAUCUCCCCUUCUUUUCCCGCCACUCAACUUCUUAAACCCUAAACCUACCUCUCUCUCUCUCUUCACUGCGCAUUUCACCUAAAAAGCUUGAUAAAUCUGUCUUUUUAUAGAUGCAUAGUUAUUUGUUACUUCCGAUUGUGAUAAAAUAGCUUAUUUAUUGGGGGGUUUGAGUUUGAAUUUGAAUUUUGAUGUCGGAUGAGUUAAAAAUGGGGUCGCUGGGAGACCAUGACGAUGAGAUCCAACCAGUUAAGCGGAAUUCGGUUCUUGAUGGUGGCGGCGGCGACACCGAGACUCAACUCUUUGGCAGUCAGUUUUCUUUGCCUCCAGUGCCUGGUAAUAAAUUGAAGGACAAGGACUUUAAUGAGUUACAGUUUCUACAAAGUACAUUGCCGUUUAUUGGUACCGUUCCACUUGAAGAUGCAUUUGAGACCCAAGUCACGAGUCUUGCUGGUGAAACUCAAGUAUUGGAUAAUCAUUAUGAUGCUGAGAACAUGGACACCCAGUUGUUAGAUGAGUGUGAUGAUGAAGUUGUUGAUACUGAUGACGGAGGAACAGACAGAACAGAAGUUUUGGGUGAUACUGAAGAGUUGUUUGAUGAUGAUUCUGUAAACAUAGUUGGUAGUUAUCCAAUGAACCAAGAGAAUAAGCUCUAUUCCAUUAUUUCAAAACAAGACGAUAAGGGUUGUAAAGGAGAAUUAGAUGGGUUGAUUAAUGAACAACGGAGUUCAGGAUCCAUAAGAAGGAAUUUCACUUCAGUCCGUGCAGCAGCUUUACGGGCCUCAGGUUUAGCAGCUCGUAACAUGGCUUUUAAGGGAACCAACAAUGAGCCAUGUUCCAUUAAGGGUGAUGAUCAGUCUUUAAAACAACAUACUGCUGAGGAUAAUGGGAUGACUGAUAUCAGAGAUUCAUUGGCAUUUGGAAAGGAAAUUGAUGAGGAUUUUCCAAGGGAGUACAAUGAGCAAAUGAAGGGAUUAAAGAAUCAAAACAAGUGCAGGGUUGGUAGUUCAACAGUGAGAAGGCUUUUUGCGGAUGAUACACUUGCUGAGAUUGAAGGACUGAAUAACUACACAAAUAAUGCUGGUGGAGGAGUUGACUUGCCUCAGUUGACCGAUUGUGGCAAUGAGAUGGCUGGGUUGAGCUAUGUCGACUCUCAAGAACCUGGAGAGUUGUCGCAAGCCAAUGCACUAGACUUUGUGGACAGGUUUCUUAAAUUCAAUGACAUGGAUUUUGGUAAAAAAGUUGACAUAGUAAGGUCCACUGGGGGAAAAGUAAAACCCAUUUCAAGUGCAAAAGGCACCCAAAGUUUGGCCAAAAGAACUAAUUUUAAAAGUACAGCGGGAGGAAGAGGGAUUUUUGAUUGGGAUGAUAACCGUGAAGAUGAAGGAGGGGGAGAGUUCUUCACCAAGAAAAAGGAAGCAUUCUUUGAUAAUGGAAGACAGAGGCAUAGAUCUCUUACCCAACCUCGUAAGCUCAAGCAUCUUGACUCCAAAGGAACUGGUGCUGUAGAUGAAACUAGAGACAAGGAAGAACGACUAGAAAUCCAUCGAAAGACAAAGGAUUUAGCGAAUUCCGAUUCACGGUUAGUGUUGCAUAAUUCGAAAAGGAAUUACAAGACAGUGAAGCUAACAGAAGCAAAAUCUAAAAAGGACCUUACCAAGGAAAUGGAUGAACAGCUGAAGAUUGGUUCCUCAGAUGGAAUCGAAGCUACUGGUUCUGACAUGGAUACGUCGGAGAUGCUGAAUGUGGGGGUUGAUACUCAAAUGGCUGCGGAAGCAAUGCAAGAACUAUGCUUUGGUUUGGACGUGGCUGACCAUGACAACAAAGACACUAAUCAAGGUACCAAAAAUACGUGUGAAGGUUCUUCCAGAGGAGAAGAACAGAAUAGGUCAUGGUCUAAGAAAUAUUCUCGACAGAAGAGAUCAAGUUUGUCUGGUUCUAGAGUUUUAACAAGAAAUUCAAAGCAAACUAAGAUUAUUGGUACCAAAUUGAGUGGCGAACCAACUCUUUCAUCAUUGAAACAGGCUAAGAAUGUGAGGAAGGAAAGUGAUAUUGAGUUAGUGGCAAAACCAAAGAAGGCCAAGUCAAAUGAUGGAGUACACUUAACCACCAAUUUGAUUGAAAAUGCAGACAAAGUAUCUCCUGAAGUUAAUGAGCAAAUAAAAGAAGUAAGAGCUCCGAAAAGAAGUAACAUUGAUGAGGUUGGCAGAUGCCUUGCCAAUGCAUCAUCAAGUGGGCGUAUAUCAGUCAAGAAACGCCGGUUGGAAGAACAAGGUGGUUUUUGUACACCCAUAGCUUGUCGAACUAGGCAGCAGCACAGGGUAAAAUAUAAAUUAAGGGCUGGGAUUGCGUCAUAUGAUUCUAGAGAAGGGAAACAUCUGAAUGACAGAAGACAAGAGGGCAUUACGGAGAAGGAGAAAUCACAUCAAAAGUUGAUUGAUACGAUUGCUGCUGUUAGAAUUGGUGAAUUGAGAAACAACAGAGGAAGAAGAACUCAGCGAAAACUGUCAGGUCCUUUAAAUGGAAGCUGCAACCUUCAUAAAUCAAUCAAUCAAUUUGUUGGGAAGGAGACUAAUGGACAAUCUCUUGGAAAAUCAAACAAAUCAAAGACCAAUGCUGUGAGUCCUUCCAUGGAUCUAGGCAUGAAGAGGAAAACAAAAAGGAGACAGAGUGAUGCAGAUACCAUGUCAGCUGGUGAACAUGCUGGAGGAAAUGCCAGAUUAGAAGUGUCACCAGGAGACAGAUGCAAACCAUCUGGUCCAGCAUCGACUACUCCUGUUAAUUGUACCACUCCUAUAAAUGCUGCAUCACCUAUUUGUAUGGGUGCAGAUUAUCUCAAACAGUCAUGCAGGAAGAAUUUGUCAAAAUCAUUCCUUAUUAAAGAAAUCAAUAGCUUAAUCUCCAAGGGACCAGAGCCUAUUUCCCCAACCAAAGACUCAAGGAGGAGAAGAGAUAUGGCUAAUGUCUGUGUCUUGUUUAGUCACCACUUGGAUGAUGAUUUAAUCAAGCAGCAAAAGAAGAUUUUGGCCCGGCUAGGAGCUUCAGUGGCACCCUCUAUUUCAGAAGCCACACAUUUUGUAACGGAUAAAUUUGUCCGAACAAGGAAUAUGUUAGAAGCUAUUGCUUUUGGCAAACCUGUGGUGACACGUUCAUGGCUCGAAAGCUGUAGACAAGCUAGCUGUUUCAUUGAUGAGAGGAAUUACAUAUUGAGAGAUGCCAAAAAGGAAAAGGAGUUUGGGUUUAGCUUGCCGGUUUCAUUGGCACGUGCAUGCCAACAUCCACUUUUACAGGGGCUAAAAGUUUUGAUUACUCCAAAUACAAAGCCUGGUAAAGAAAUAUUGGUGAGCUUGGUUAAGGCAGUCCAUGGCCUGGCGGUGGAGAGAAUUGGUCGAUCAGCAUUCAAGGACGAUAAAAUUUCAGAAGGCCUGUUGGUUUUAUCUUGUGAGGAAGAUUAUGCUAUCUGUGUGCCUUUUCUUGAGAAAGGUGCAGCAGUUUACAGUUCAGAGUUGCUACUGAAUGGAAUAGUGAUUCAGAAGCUAGAAUAUGAAAGGUGUGUGUGCGUGUAUAAGAUAUCAAUUUUUUUCUUUGCCACUGGCUAGAGGAUGAAAUGAUCUUAAAAAAUCCUUUUCCUAGUGCUAAGAAUGCACAGACAACACAUACAUGCGGAUACUGAAAUCUUCAAACAAUACAUCGUCUCUUUGUAGAUCAUGUCAGGAGAACCCGUUCUACAGUACGAUUGAAACAAGACAGUAAUCACUAUCUGCCUGUCACUAACCACAAAUAAGAUUGCUCCCUCUUCCUUCCUUUUAUGUAUUCUGUUCAUCUCUCAAGGGCUUGUCUUCUGCAUAUUGUAAAGAAAGCUUCAAUGUUUAUAUUCUUUGCAGAUUUAUCCACAUGAUUUUGUUUUUGUUUUAUGUAAUUUUAUUUUUUGGUUUCUUGGAGCUUGCUUAACUACUUAUCUCGCUCCGGUCACCAACAUGCACAUUAGAAAAUUUCCACCACAGUUCAGGUUUCCUUCCAGUUUGAAAACGAAAAUGAUACUAAAAAUGCGGUUUUCUCAAUUAUUGAAGGUAUGAACCUACUUGAAAGAAAAAGGGGUUUUUAUA